AGAAUUUCACAUGCUGAGAGCAGUCUGGUGGCAUUUAGAGUCUUGGUGUCACCUGACAAGGCUCACCUUUGAGGCUUUGUGAUUUAUACAUUCAAGUCCUAACCCCAGGACCUUAGAAUCUGAUUUUUGAAUACCGGUGGUUAAAAUGGUUAUUAAAGUAAAUUGAAGUUGUUGGAGUGGACUUGGCCCCAUAUGACUGAUGACUCGGGGAGCAGAACCGUUGCUUUGAUCAACAACAGGCCACUCUCACAAGGACAGACCCAUUCGAUAUAUUGUCUGGUGACGCCAUGGCCAUCGGAGUUUGAGCAGUCUACUCCACACACUGUCCACGUGAUGGGAAAUGGCCUUUGUCAGCUCACGCCAUGCUCUUCCUUAAGGACUGUUUGUCAACAGGAGUGCACUCUGUUUCUUAAGGUUGUGAUGACCUUGGCUGCCAAAGCUUCCUGGAAGAGUCAACAUUCAAGCAUACUGCACCCGAAUGGACUAAGCUUACUGAAGUCACCCGCAG
rnacentral:lncRNA from 1 species